UAACACAUGCAAGUCGAACGAGACCUUCGGGUCUAGUGGCGCACGGGUGCGUAACGCGUGGGAACCUGCCCUCAGGUUCGGAAUAACGUCGGGAAACUGACGCUAAUACCGGAUAAUGUCUUCGGACCAAAGAUUUAUUGCCUGGGGAUGGGCCCGCGUUGGAUUAGCUAGUUGGUGGGGUAAAGGCUCACCAAGGCGACGAUCCAUAGCUGGUCUUAGAGGAUGAUCAGCCACACUGGGACUGAGACACGGCCCAGACUCCUACGGGAGGCAGCAGUGGGGAAUAUUGGACAAUGGGCGAAAGCCUGAUCCAGCAAUGCCGCGUGAGUGAUGAAGGCCUUAGGGUUGUAAAGCUCUUUUACCAGGGAUGAUAAUGACAGUA
rnacentral:rRNA from 1 species